AGCGGUAAUAGCUCAAAUUUGAAAUCUGGCUCUUUUAGGGUCCGAGUUGUAAUUUGUAGAGGAUGUUUCGGGCACAGUUACGGUUUAAAUUUCUUGGAACAGAAUGUCAUAGAGGGUGAGAGUCCCGUCUUGAACCGAUUACCUCGUCCAUGUGAAACUCCUUCGACGAGUCGAGUUGUUUGGGAAUGCAGCUCAAAAUGGGUGGUAAAUUUCAUCUAAAGCUAAAUAUUGGCCAGAGACCGAUAGCGCACAAGUAGAGUGAUCGAAAGAUGAAAAGCACUUUGAAAAGAGAGUUAAACAGUAUGUGAAAUUGUUGAAAGGGAAGCGCUUGUAAUCAGACUUGAGCUUAACAGUUCCCCCUUCGUUCUCGUUGGGUUAUUCUGUUUUGUCCAGGCCAACAUCAGUUCGAGUGGUUGGUUAAAGACUUUGGGAAUGUAUCUACCCUCCGGGGUCGACUUAUAGCCCAGAGUGUCAUGCAGCCUACUUGGACUGAGGAACGCGCUUCGGCUCGGAUGUUGGCGUAAUGGUUAUAAGCGACCCGUCUUGAAACACGGACCAAGGAGUCUAACAUCUAUGCGAGUCUUUGAGUGGAAAACUCCCAGGCGUAAUGAAAGUGAACGGAGGUAAGAAGCCUUUAGGCUGCAUUAUCGACCGAUCUUGAUGUCUUCGGAUGGAUUUGAGUAAGAGCAUAGCUGUUGGGACCCGAAAGAUGGUGAACUAUGCCUGAAUAGGGUGAAGCCAGAGGAAACUCUGGUGGAGGCUCGCAGCGGUUCUGACGUGCAAAUCGAUCGUCNAAUUUGGGUAUAGGGGCGAAAGACUAAUCGAACCAUCUAAACCAAUCUACCGGAUGGUAAAUCAGUCCGGUUGGACAUCUAGACUAAAUGUCCUUUAACCGUGGCUACGUGAACAUCAUGCAGGGAGGUCUUUUGAUUAAUCUGCAGCCUCUUUUUAGGGCUCACAGACUAGAUGUUGACGGCCAGUAUUGCUCUGGUAUGAGAUAUAGCCGAUAAGACCUUUCACUUAAGGUGUCUUAGUUCAAGGGUAGCUGGUUCACGCCGAAGUUUCCCUCAGGAUAGCAGUAACGUUUUCAGUUUUAUGAGGUAAAGCGAAUGAUUAGAGGCCUUGGGAGUGAAACACUCUUAACCUAUUCUCAAACUUUAAAUAUGUAAGAAGUCCUUGUUACUUAAUUGAACGUGGACAUUUGAAUGUAUCGUUACUAGUGGGCCAUUUUUGGUAAGCAGAACUGGCGAUGCGGGAUGAACCGAACGUGAGGUUAAGGUGCCGGAAUACACGCUCAUCAGACACCACAAAAGGUGUCAAUGCAUCUAGACAGCCGGACGGUGGCCAUGGAAGUCGGAAUCCGCUUAGGAGUGUGUAGAAUCAUUGUUGCACACACAUUACAAGUAGGCCUCUGGGGGUCUUACGAUGGCUUUAGUUAACCGGGACAGUGUUAAAUCAUAACCGGACGUGAACUCUACGGAUUUCACUCACAGACUAGAAGAAGCCGGCCCGAGUAUUGCACUCCGGUUAAGAAAUAGCCGGUUAAGGCCUUUAANCGAGGUAUCCUUCAACCAAAGAACAACUCACCGGCCGAAUGCAUUGGCCCUGAAAAUGGAUGGCGCUUAAGCGUGUUACCUAUACCUCGCCAUUAGAGUUGAAAUUAUGCUCUAAUGAGUAGGCGUGCGUGGGG
rnacentral:rRNA from 1 species